rnacentral:lncRNA from 1 species
NNNNNNNNNNNNNNNNNNNNNNNNNNNNNNNNNNNNNNNNNNNNNNNNNNNNNNNNNNNNNNNNNNNNNNGCCCUGAGGGGCGAGCAGCUGGCCACGACGCUGGCCGGUGCUGAAGCUCAGGCUGUGGCCGACGCUACUGACGCUGCUGCUACUGCUGCUACGGGCGCCACUGUUGUUGUGAAGCCCCGACGCCGCCGCUCACUCCGCCAUGUUGCCGCCCCCUGCCUGCGGUAGCGGCCACUGCGCCUGCGCAGAGUCUCCGGGGGUGGAGCCCUCGGUGCACCCCCUCUUUUGCCCUGCCCUCCUUCUCUUUUCCACCCACCCACCCCGACACCCCUCCUCCCUCCCCCAACCACCCUGAGCCGAUAGACAGGUGAGCAGGUGCAUGGGGACCAAUGCCAGACCCUGGGGCAAGCUGGUAGAGGCGGGACAGGUAGUGGCUUCCUUGUACUUUUUCCCUAGAGGGUGGAUUCUCCCUGUAGGGAAGGACACAGUGAGUGUGUGUCUUGCCUUCGCUGCCUCCUCCUCCUUCCUUCAAUAUCCUUUUGCUAAGAGGAGGUUCAUCAUCUUCGUCUUCAUCAUUGCAUCUAGCAGCUGCCACUGCCAGUGCCACGUGCCUUGUAAGAUUCCAUAUCCAAGUGAAAUCACACUGAUGAGGGAUAGAAGCAGACAAAUGUUCACCUUUAGCCCAGAAGGCUCACCGAUAGCCUGCAGAGUUUUGAUAAGGAUUGAAUAAGUGCUGAUUGGGGAUUCUUUCUUCCUACUGACUACUGCUGCAUUCUCUGGUGGAAAAGUCGCAUGAGAUCUGAAUGCACGUAGGCCUCUCAAGGCUUCGUGUAUGAAGGAGGACACGUGAAAGUGUUGGCUGACCUCAGCCCCUCUUCAAAGUCUCCUCAACUUUGUUUCACUUUUGUUCUUCAUCAAGACCUCUAAUCUUUUGCCUCUCUGUGCACCUCAGGAAUCUUCCCCCCAAGGAAGCUCCAGGCUGCAAUGCCUGUAGGUGGGACUUGUGAGAACUUUGCUGUGCUGGGGUGGGAACGCAACACUCUUUUUGCUGCUGUGUCCAUUGCUAGUCGUAGAGCUCGCUGCUGCUGCACAGAGGUUGUAACAGGAACAGUGAUUCCCAUCCAUCACAUUCUCCAAAACUAUUGAUGAAUGGCUUUUAAAAAAAGGUAUUGUGUUGACAUUGUGGCUGUUAAGACUGGGAUGGUAGGAAAAUGAGGAAGAAAUUGAUGGCAAGACACUGAUACAGACAGAGGAAAUCGAUAAAUGUGGUACUUCCCAUAUGUGUGCUCACUCCUUCAGCCACCGUUGAUGAGAGAUCCAUCAGCCCCACACCAGGCUGCCCCUGGCUUGCCUCCCUGCAUCUUAGCCUGCUCACACCUCUGGACACUGGUGGAGCUACUCUCUGUCCUUCUCAUUUUCAAGCUUAUAUCCAGAAUCUUAAAAGUUCCCGCAUCCUAAUGGCCUUUCCUUUCCUUUCUUAGGAAGGUUCGGC